GAUGCACCGUAGUUUACUACACCGUAUUCUGUGAGUUGCGAACGGGUGAGUAACGCGUAGGUAACCUGCCUGGUAGCGGGGGAUAACUAUUGGAAACGAUAGCUAAUACCGCAUAAGAACAUUUACUGCAUGGUAGAUGUUUAAAAGGUGCAAAUGCAUCACUACCAGAUGGACCUGCGUUGUAUUAGCUAGUAGGUGAGGUAACGGCUCACCUAGGCGACGAUACAUAGCCGACCUGAGAGGGUGAUCGGCCACACUGGGACUGAGACACGGCCCAGACUCCUACGGGAGGCAGCAGUAGGGAAUCCUCGGCAAUGGGGGGAACCCUGACCGAGCAACGCCGCGUGAGUGAAGAAGGUUUUCGGAUCGUAAAGCUCUGUUGUUAAGGAAGAACGAGUGUGAGAAUGGAAAGUUCAUACUGUGACGGUACUUAACCAGAAAGGGACGGCUAACUACGUGCCAGCAGCCGCGGUAAUACGUAGGUCCCGAGCGUUGUCCGGAUUUAUUGGGCGUAAAGCGAGCGCAGGCGGUUAGAUAAGUCUGAAGUUAAAGGCAGUGGCUCAACCAUUGUAGGCUUUGGAAACUGUUUAACUUGAGU
rnacentral:rRNA from 1 species